ACUCAAAUGAAUAGACGGGGGCUCGCACAAGCGGUGGAUCAUGAGGCUUAAUUCGUCGCUAAGCGAAAAACCUUACCAAGGCUAGAAACCAUACUGCAUACCUAGGGAAACUUAGGUAGCCUUCGAGGGUGUAUGGCAGGUGAUGCAUGGCCGUCGUCAGUUCGUGGCUUGAGCUGUUCCCUUAAGUGGGGAAACGAACGCAACCCUCGUUGCCUGUUACAAGUGUCAGGCGAGACAGCUCCCUCACGGGAGAGGAAGGUGAGGAUGACGCCAGGUCAGCAUGUCCCUAGAUGCCUUGGGCUGCACUCGUGAUACAAUGGGUGGCACAACGAGACGCAAUGCCGUAAGGCGGAGCAAAUCUUUAUAAAACCACUCUCAAUUCGGAUUGAGGUCUGCAACUCGACCUCAUGAAGUCGGAAUCGCUAGUAAUCGCGGAUCAGCAUUGCCGCGGUGAAUACGUUCCCGAGCCUUGUACACACCGCCCGU
rnacentral:rRNA from 1 species